CCAAUACACUUUCCUUUCUAGCCAAAAUGGCGUGUAACUCAGGAGCCUGCCAGUCCGGUUGUUACAGAGAUGACUCCUCCACCGGAGCAGAAGAAUCGCCGCCGCUAUCAAAGAAAAAUGAAGCUUCAAACGACGUCUUCAACGGUAGAAGGAGCACUGAACAUUUGGAUAAUGGAAUAUGUCUCAAAUGUAAGGUUAACAGAACCAUCGCCGCUGACGGCGGUGGUGGUAAUUUUGGUGGAGGAGAUGGAGGAAGGUUCUGUGCAGAUUGCUUCCGAAGUAAUCUAUUUGGAAAGUUUAGACUUGCUGUCACAGCUAAUGCUCUGAUUUCGCCGUCAGAUAACGUUCUUGUCGCCUUCUCUGGCGGUACUUGUUCCAGGGUGGCUCUGCAGUUCCUACAUGAGAUGCAAAGCAGAGCUCAGAAGAACUAUGAUGCCAGUAGAGAUAGAGCAUUACCAGUUUUUGGUGUUGGGGUUGCUUUUAUUGAUGAAAAAACCAUUUCAGCUGUCUCAUCUGAUGACCUUGAUAGAGCUAUUGAGGAAAUGAAACUUAUUGUGUCAGAUUUGGCUCCACCUAUGAAACAAUUCCAUGUAGUCUCAGCAGAGGCUAUUUAUUCGCCUAAAGUUGGUGAUGCAAAAGAUAGACUGAAUGAAUUAAUAAAUGCUGUUGGUGAUGUCACGGGAAAAGAAGAUCUAUUGGAGCAUUUUCGCAUGCUCUCCCUGCAAAAGAUGGCUAUUGAGAAUGGAUAUACCAAAGUUCUGCUAGGAACGUGUACGUCAAGAAUAGCUUGUCAUGUACUUGAAGCAACUGUCAAGGGAAGAGGUUACUCUUUAGCUGCUGAUAUCCAGUAUGUUGAUGCAAGGUGGAAGAUACCUGUGGUUCUUCCCCUCCGUGAUUGUCCUAUUCAUGAGUUGAGCAUGCUUUGCAGCCUUGACAGUUUGAUGACUGUAGAAGUUUUUAAUGGAACACGUGCUGGUAUCAAUGGCUUGAUCUCCUCAUUUGUAAAAUUGUUGCAGGAGGAAAACCCUUCCCGGGAAAGCACAAUCAUGAGAACAGCUGGAAAGCUGACACCUUUUCAUUUCAAUAGAAUGCCAGAGGACAAUGACUAUAAUGGUGAGGUGGCAUCUCGAAGGAGGCAAAAGAAAUACAACCUGAAAACUAAAGAUGCCCUUCCUCCCGAGUCAUUCUGUCCUAUUUGCAACAGUCCUCUGAAAAUAUCCAAUUCUGGAACUUCAAUUAAUUUUGACAAUGGGAAAACUAGUCCUAAUGGGAUUGGGGCUGCAUGCUGUGCAAGUUGUCAGUUUCAGGUUCUUCCCAAGGACCCCUCAUCUCUGGAACACUUCAUUUCUCUCUUGCCACCAUCACUGGUUUCCCAAGCAGAGGAUGGUGAUCGUCUAAGUCAGAGACAUCUAAGGGAGCAAAUAGAAGACUGCUUGCUCUCGGACAAUGAAGAUGGAACAUGAUCCAGCUGAUUAGUUUUGCAAAACAUCCAACUGCUUGCUGCAUUGAUAUGCAAAUCGUGUUUUGGCCACAAUACACUACUAGUUGCACACUCUUCAUAGAAGAGAAGAGGGGAAUUUAUUACUUACAGGGAAAUGGAAAUACAGAGACACCAGCCAUAGAAACUUAACUGGUUAAGUGUAGCAACCACAAAUUUCACUGGGGCAACCCAUAGCACAUGGAUCCUGAUAAAUAUUCUCCUGAAAUUUCACAGAGUGAAGAGACUCUUCUUCUUCUUCAUCAUGAUCAUAAAAGCUUGUAGUUUGAUCAGUCCAUUGUUGUGAAUCUGAUAAAGCUUGGUGGUUAUGGUACAACAGAAAAGCAAUAACCAUGAGGAUAAUUAUGGUGUUUCUGGCCAUUGAUUAAAGUUUUAAGAAUAUUGGGUAAAGGCAAUGUCAAAUGGUUACUUGUUAACAAGUCUCUCUAGCAAAUGAUUGCAUAUAAUGCCAGCCUGCUCUUGAUUGUUUGUUCUUGUAAUCUAGAAACUUUGAAUUGAAUUUUAAGGUCAAAGUUAAUUUUUAAAA